AGUGAACGCUGGCGGUAGGCCUAACACAUGCAAGUCGAACGGCAGCACAGUAAGAGCUUGCUCUUACGGGUGGCGAGUGGCGGACGGGUGAGGAAUACAUCGGAAUCUACUUUUUCGUGGGGGAUAACGUAGGGAAACUUACGCUAAUACCGCAUACGACCUACGGGUGAAAGCAGGGGAUCUUCGGACCUUGCGCGAUUGAAUGAGCCGAUGUCGGAUUAGCUAGUUGGCGGGGUAAAGGCCCACCAAGGCGACGAUCCGUAGCUGGUCUGAGAGGAUGAUCAGCCACACUGGAACUGAGACACGGUCCAGACUCCUACGGGAGGCAGCAGUGGGGAAUAUUGGACAAUGGGCGCAAGCCUGAUCCAGUCAUACCGCGUGGGUGAAGAAGGCCUUCGGGUUGUAAAGCCCUUUUGUUGGGAAAGAAAAGCAUCAGGUUAAUACCCCGCUGUUCUGACGGUACCCAAAGAAUAAGCACCGGCUAACUUCGUG
rnacentral:rRNA from 1 species